UGCGUAGGUGGCGCCGCCAGUGGGGUGUGAAAUUCCGGAGCUUAACUCCGAAACUGCAUUCCAUACUGCGGUGCUUGAGGACUGGAGAGGAGACUGGAAUUCAUGGUGUAGCAGUGAAAUGCGUAGAGAUCAUGAGGAAGACCAGUGGCGAAGGCGGGUCUCUGGACAGUUCCUGACACUGAGGCACGAAGGCUAGGGGAGCGAACG
rnacentral:rRNA from 1 species